UACGUAGGGGGCGAGCGUUGUCCGGAAUCAUUGGGCGUAAAGCGCGUGUAGGCGGCCCGGUAAGUCCGCUGUGAAAGUCCAGGGCUCAACCCUGGGAUGCCGGUGGAUACUGUCGGGCUCGAGUCCGGAAGAGGCGAGUGGAAUUCCUGGUGUAGCGGUGAAAUGGCGGCAGGAUAUCAAGGAGGAACACCAAUAGGCGGAAGGCAGCGUCGCUGGGACGUGACUGACGCUGAGACGCGAA
rnacentral:rRNA from 1 species